rnacentral:piRNA from 1 species
CACAACCCUCAAAGCCAUCAGAUGCAAU